UAUAUAUGAGAAAAAGAAAUGCAAUGGUAAAAGUAAAAAAAAAAGGAAUAUAAAAAGCUGUUUUCAGGUUUAUAUAGUCAGAGAGAGAGAGAGAGAGAGAGAGAGAGAGAGAGAGAGACAGAGACAGAGACUUACUUUAAGGCAUAAGGGGCAGGACCACCUAACCCCAAUGCCCAGCCCCCUCACCCUCUGAAGAGACACUAAAGCACAUUUACUCUCUCUCUCACUCUGGCUCUCAGUGCCUAUGUCCAGACUGCUGCUUCAGACCUCACCGCCCCUUUCCAUUCAAACCAACUUUAAGCCAGACUUCUGAGUGUGUGAGCCAGCAUUUCAUCAACAGUCUGCUGUGCACUUUCAGGAGCCUCUUAAUUUGUUAAAGUUUCAGCUGGAGAAAAGUGACCAACAGUGACCAUGAUGAGGAUCAUACUACUGCUUCUGGUCACCCUGACGGGGCCUUUCUGUACCUUUACCCAAGCAAGUACUCUGGUGGUGCCAACAGCUAUUGGUUCAACUCCACAACCAAAUCUUGCAUCAGAUUCACCUACUUUCACAUACACAACAGAGGUAACAUCUCCUCAAGAUGCUGUUUCAACGUCAGAGCCUGCUCCUGAGGUUACAGAAGCAGCUGCCACGACAGAAGAAGUGCCAAUGGUUUCCACAACAGCAUCAGUGAUACAGUCAGGAACCCCAUUAGAAACAACAGCCCUAACAGAUACAACACAAUCAACAGAAGCUGUACCUAUAGAGACAACCAGCCCUGAAGCCACUACUGUCUUUGCAGAAGCAGAAAUGCCUGAGAAAGUUGAAGACAUAGAAUCAAAGACUGCAGAUGAAGAGGUGGAGGAUGAAGGUAUGGGCACAGGACAGUUGGUGGGGAUCGUAAUCGGUGCAUUGAUCACAGUGAUUGUUGUCAUUGCUGUAAUCAUCUUGUUGGUCAGAAGAAUGGGCCAAUACUCGACUGCAAAGAAACGAAAGCCUCAAAAACAAAAGAGCAUCUUGAUCUCUCCCCUGAAAAGAAAGGCACGACAGGAAGAGAAAAAGAAGAAAUCCGGGAAGUUCUGAACUAUUGUUCUGAUGUUAAAAACAAUCCAAGCAGCACUCUCACCAUCCAUCCAGGACUGUACGGGGAGCAGGAGAGUGUCCCAUCCCCUUUCCCAUUGAAAAAGAUGCCCUCCCACAAAAACACCUUCCCAGUGCCCACAAGUUAUUUUAUUUAGCCUGAAAAACCUUAUUUAUCCCAAUAGUGGGAGGCCACAGGAAGUUACAGUAUCUUUUUUUAAUGCAUAUUAAUGUAACAGGAGAUUAAUGAAUGUUCAAUUUGUAAAGGGCCUAAUAAACAAAAACAAACAAACA
ensembl:lncRNA